GGAGAGGUGCCAGAGUGGUCGAAUGGGGCGGUCUCGAAAACCGUUGAGCCUUUGCGGGCUCCCAGGGUUCGAAUCCCUGUCUCUCCG
rnacentral:tRNA from 1 species